AUCCGACAUUAUUUAUUGAUAUAUCUACGUUGGAAUUUUCAAUUGUCUCCAAUCUUUUUUUUAAAAAUGGCGCUAUACUCGAGCUAACUUGCAGUGCUAUUGCGCAACCAGUACCAGUCAUCUCGUUCCGUUUCGAGCUCAAUUAAUCGAGUCGCGUAAACGUUCUUGAACCCUGUUUGACGCAGCUGCGGGGACUAUUCCCGGCCUCUCAAUUCUUAUGGUUUCGCGUAUAUACACAAAGAGAAAGAGAGAGAAAGAGAGAUCUGUUUGCUGGCUAGCAAGUAAAUUUGCAACUCGCGCUCCAAUUUACUUAAGCUGUCCGGUACACGUGCGAGCGAAAACGAGGAUCGGCAGCUGCGUGAAACGUGGAUCGAAACGCUUGAACUGCGCAUGCGCGUGUUAGUGAAUAGCAUCCAUGAUGGAAGUGCUUGCACGCAAAAGUUAAUAUUCGUUUAAUUUUUUCAAUAUUGUGAACGAAAUAUCUUGCAAAGUGAUGUUUUGGAUAUCGCGUCGUGAUAAUGAUUGCGCGAAUAUUACGAGUGGGAUAUCGUGUGCGUGUGUUUUAUUGGAAUGCGAGAUUCAUUUGCUACGCAUUUCGUCGUUGAUGCAAUUGAGAAAAUAUCCUGUACGUCGAUCGUCGAAAUUCUUCAUCGCGUGCCUCUUUUCCUCUUCGAAUAAAAAUAUAAAAGUCAGAUGGAGAGAAGCUGGUUAAUGCGACAUCGAAAACUCCAAUUUUCACAGAUUGGUAGUAACAACGAGCCGUCGCACGAAAUGUUGGCGUGAAAUGCGGAGACCUUGGACGCGAUAAGAAGGAACGGUCGAGGGUCGCACAUGUUUUAUCUGGUCGCAGUGCAACAUCAACGUCUACUCUUGUUGAAGACGGGAAUUCCACGAAGUAUGGGUCCAGCUCGAGGGCCGUCCAGUCCGGAGAACAUGCUGACGCCAUAUUCUCCGCGAUCUUAUAUCUCGAGGGGCUCGGGAGGAGCUCCGUUCGCCAUCUUCAAAAUUCUUCUUCUUCUUCUUCUUCUUCGUUGAUGAUUCUUCGAUUUUUCUUUCCGCGCAAUCCAAUUAAUUUCUCGUGAUCCAAUACUCGCAAAAUACUUUUUUACUUACCACGCGAUCAAAUUUAUCGUUCAAACCAUUUAUUAUUACCACGAAUAUGACCCUAUUUUUCCUCAUUUUCCUUUCUCCUUUUCUUAAAUGUUUAACAUAAUAUCAAUCGAGACGUCGUCGCCUCUCUCUGAUUUCGUUUAAUUAACGAUUCGUGCUCGUCGACACGAUGUUAAAAUUGCAAACGUUGGAAAAUGAAGGAAACUUCUGAUAUUCGACGUUACUCGAUUUCUCUCUCUCUCUCUCUCUCUCUCUCUCUCUUUCGUCUAUCGAUAAUACGCAGGUGGAAAAUCUUGCGGGUACGGCGGAAAUAGGGGUUGGAAAGGAAUGGCGGAGGUUUUGCAUGGUUGACCUUUCUCGAGCCCGCGCCAUUAACCAGGCGGUUAAGAGGUUGCACGCGUGUACAUCUGUUUGCGCGGAAGUGCUUUUGUGGAAUCGCUUUUGUGGAAACGACGCACUGUAACGACGCCCCCUUUGUCUCUCGCGUUAUCUGAAAGUUUCUAAUGUAACUUGCACUUGGGUGGAUAUCCAUUACUUGGAAUCCAUGACGUAUUGGCCUCCUUUAACGCCCGAUAUCGCCGCGUUUUCGGGAGGAAGUCGUGAUGUGAAAGGCGAUAGGAAAAUGGUACUUAAUGGUAUUUAAUGGGAAUGAUGGGAUGAUUGGAGGUGGGGAGUGCUUUGACUGU